rnacentral:lncRNA from 1 species
UAGAAUGAGCUUCAGCGAGGACGGAAUAUGGGGUUUUGGUGGCUCCUGGUCUUCUUAAGUGAGUGGCAGUAUGACUCCAAGCUUUUUCCUGUGUCUCCACAAGGUCUCUCUCCUUAUAUGUGUCUUUGUUCCUUUGGGGGGGUCUCUUAUUUGAACACUGUCAUUAACAUUAGUGCUUGGCCUAACCUAGUUUGAUAGUCUUAAAUUUUAUCUUCCCUUUAC